AUGCCGUUCGGACUAAAAAACGCGGGAGCCACAUACCAGCGCAUGAUUCAAACAUGCCUCAAAAACCAAAUUGGCAAAACAGUCGAAGCAUAUGUGGACGACGUGGUUGUGAAAACCAAAAACUUCAACCAACUGAUAAAUGACCUACGUCAAACCUUCGACAACCUGUGGGCCUACGACAUAUGGCUCAACUUGGAGAAAUGUGUCUUCGAAGUACCUGCCGGAAAGCUACCCGGAUUCAUAUUUUCCCAUACAGGAAUCGAAGCCAAUCCGGUCAAAAUUAGAGCGCUAUCUCAGCUCGCAAUACCAACAGAGCUUAAGCAUGUCCAGAAGCUGGCAGGAUGCGUGGCCGCCUUGAGCCGCUUCAUAUCCCACCUUGGAGAAAAGGCAUUGCCACUCUACAAACUUCUUAAAAAGACCAAUAACUUCCAAUGGACAGAUGAAGCAACCACGACACCCAAAGAGAUUAAGACACUCCUCACCGGCAAUCCUACCCUGGCCGCACCCGGCAUUGGCGAACCCAUGCUACUAUACAUCUCAGCCACCAAUCAGGUGGUUAAUGAUACGUCUCCAACGUAUCUAUAA
rnacentral:rRNA from 1 species